UACGGAGGGGGGCUAGCGUUGUUCGGAAUUACUGGGCGUAAAGCGCACGUAGGCGGCUAUUCAAGUCGGGGGUGAAAGCCCGGGGCUCAACCCCGGAACUGCCCUCGAAACUAGAUAGCUAGAAUCUUGGAGAGGCGAGUGGAAUUCCGAGUGUAGAGGUGAAAUUCGUAGAUAUUCGGAAGAACACCAGUGGCGAAGGCGACUCGCUGGACAAGUAUUGACGCUGAGGUGCGAAAGCGUGGGGAGCAAACAGG
rnacentral:rRNA from 1 species